ACAAGACAAGACAAGACAAGACAAGACAAAGAGUUGCUUUGCUCAGAAAGAUCCGCAAUUCAAGGAUCUCCGAGUGGCUGGUUUUUUUGGUUUGCUUUUAGGGGUUUUCUUUUUUGAACUGAGAAUACUACUUCAUACCGUUUCUUGUGGUGGUUGAUAGCUGACGGUCUGGAGUUUCCUGAUUAGAAUUUGAAAGGGUAAACGAACGUGUUGAAAUUGAAAAGCUCAAAUUAAGGAUAUGACGGGGGCAAUUCUUAAGAGUUUAAACUUGGAAAACUUCUUUUAGAGCUAAUGGCUUGGAAGCUUCAGCUUAAGGAGAUAGUGAGAACUGCUGCUCAUGUAGCAGUGGCUAGAUAGGCAUGGUAAAGCAUCUUCAGCAUUGGUCCUUCUACCUAAACUGCAAAAACUCUAUUCCCAACAUCAUGCCCGGUCAACCAGCUAUAAUCAAUCAAAUUCCCCAUCUCAUGCUCAUCUUUGCUGUGUUUAAAUGUAUGUGGGUACGACUCUUAGGACCAAUCUAAUCUUGCUAAAAAUGUCACUUAUUAUUCAAUAUCAUUGUUUCGGCAUGCCUAACAUGGCCUAAUGAUUGUUCUUGCUUUACACUAGAAUAUUAUGGUGUCACUUUUAACAAAUUCUUCAACUGUGGACGAACCCCGCAUAUUGUAACCUUUUUUUUUUUUUGAGAGAAAUUUAGCAUGAUUUGGUCAUUUUCUGGUAUUGUUAAGAGAGAUGGUACGAGAAGAGCCAGCUAUGUGACAAAAAGCAGAGGUCCCCAGCAAUAAGCAGGGUCCUCAUCCUGAUUCCUAUGGGUAAGGUAUUCUGAAAAAAAAAAUUCAAUCCCGAAUUGUCGAAAGAAGGACCAAAAAUGAAAGAAUCCAACUAGGAUGACAUUGAAAUGAAUACCACACAACUGUAGCUAUUACAUUAAUUUUACAUUCAAAUUCCAUGCGAAAUGUACUUGCUCCUCCCGCAGGGCCAGAACCCAGAAACACAACAUAAACAAGGCUUCUUUCUUUACUUGACAAAAGAUCUUCCUAAUUCUUGUCUAAUCGCUCCUCUCUCACUUCACAAGCAUGUAUGUGUUAUAUAAAAGAAUAAGAGGGUACAAAAAAUCGAUUCCCGAGUUCAACUAUUUGAUAUGAAUAGAAGGGUUUUUUGAGCAACUGGAAAGAGCGGAGUAGUAUCUUCAUUAGGUCAAGAUCCACAUGAAGACUGUUGACCAAGACGUGAGUGCUAAAGCAGCAGCCAAGUAUGUCCACAGGAAGAGGACCGAGCACUCGUCUUGACCCACAUCAAACAGCUGGGCCAUGGUACCUGAGCGCAAUUAUUAUGCAUUUUUAAGAGCCCGUAUAGUAUUAAGUAAUGUAAUGAACUGAAGCGGUUUGGUUACUUACCAAUAUUCAUGGCUGGUGGCAGAGUAAACUGAACCAUGAGCACGUAGCGGAACAAAGGGUCGGGCGGUAGGAACCCAAGGUCCCCAGCUGCUUUAACAAUAAAAAUACCAACAACCGGUAGUAUAAUGUACCGAACACACACCACUCCCAUGAUAACCAUCGG